rnacentral:rRNA from 1 species
CCUACGGGGAGCAGCAGUGAGGAAUAUUGGUCAAUGGGCGGAAGCCUGAACCAGCCAAGCCGCGUGAGGGAUGAAGGUACAGAGUAUCGUAAACCUCUUUUGUCAGGGAACAAAGGCGGGGACGUGUCCCCGGAUGAGUGUACCUGAAGAAAACGCAUCGGCUAACUCCGUGCCAGCAGCCGCGGUAAUACGGAGGAUGCGAGCGUUAUCCGAAUUUAUUGGGUUUACAGGGUGCGCAGGCGGUCUGUUAAGUCAGCGGUCAAAGCCCGGGGCUCAACCCCGGCCCGCCGUUGAAACUGGCAGUCUCGAGUUGGAGAGAAGUAUGCGGAAUGCGCGGUGUAGCGGUGAAAUGCAUAGAUAUCGCGCAGAACUCCGAUUGCGAAGGCAGCAUGCCGGCUCCACACUGACGCUGAGGCACGAAAGCGUGGGUAUCGAACAGGAUUAGAUACCCGAGUAGUC